AACGACCAUACCAUGCUGAAUAUAACGGUUCUCGUUAGAUCACCGAAGUCAAGCAUCAUUGGGCGCGGUCAGUACUUGCGGGUG